UCGAGGGGCAGCACAGGUAGCAAUACUGGGUGGCGACCGGCAAACGGGUGCGGAACACGUACGCAACCUUCCUUCAAGCGGGGAAUAGCCCAGAGAAAUUUGGAUUAAUACCCCAUAAGAAUGUGACCUGGCAUCAGGUAGCAUUUAAAGAUUUAUCACUUGAAGAUGGGCGUGCGUCUGAUUAGGUAGUUGGUGAGGUAACGGCUCACCAAGCCGACGAUCAGUAACUGGCGUGAGAGCGCGACCAGUCACACGGGCACUGAGACACGGGCCCGACUCCUACGGGAGGCAGCAGUAAGGAAUAUUGGUCAAUGGACGCAAGUCUGAACCAGCCAUGCCGCGUGGAGGAUGAAGGCCCUCUGGGUUGUAAACUUCUUUUAUUUGGGACGAAACACUUUCUUUCUAGAGAGCUUGACGGUACCAGAUGAAUAAGCACCGGCUAACUCCGUGCCAGCAGCCGCGGUAAUACGGAGGGUGCAAGCGUUAUCCGGAUUCACUGGGUUUAAAGGGUGCGUAGGCGGACAUGUAAGUCCGUGGUGAAAUCUCUAAGCUUAACUUGGAAACUGCCAUGGAUACUAUAUGUCUUGAAUGUUGUGGAGGUUAGCGGAAUAUGUCAUGUAGCGGUGAAAUGCAUAGAUAUGACAUAGAACACCAAUUGCGAAGGCAGCUGGCUACACAAAUAUUGACGCUGAGGCACGAAAGCGUGGGGAUCAAACAGGAUUAGAUACCCUGGUAGUCCACGCCCUAAACGAUGAUUACUCGACAUACGCGAUACACAGUGUGUGUCUGAGCGAAAGCAUUAAGUAAUCCACCUGGGAAGUACGACCGCA
rnacentral:rRNA from 1 species